AUCUAUCCUCAUCUUUCUCCUCUCUCAUUGACGCCCUCUCUCUCCACGAUACUCUCUCCCUCUCUGUAAAUUUUGACAGCCUCUACAUCCUCCGUUCAACCACCAAGCCUCCACCGUGACAGCUCCGGUCACUCCACCACGGAACAUGUAGCACACACCAUCAACCCCUAGUCCCAAUUUUCAUUAGAUGUUCUCAAUUUCAGAAUUGUUUGUUAAACUCACUUCCAAAAUUGUUGAAUUUUAGAGGUGAACCGAGUGCAAGCACAAGCGAUAAGGGAAAAGGGCACCUCCAUGGUUGACUAAGCAAGUAAUAGCGUUUUUUUUUAUGUGUACAGGUACUGCCUAAACUAAAUAAUGCACAUAUGGAAUAUUCACUGAGUUGAUUAACCCAUAUACAAAAUACCUCUCAUAAUGCAUAAUAUACUCCAAAUAAUGAAUAAUACUAACGACAACAAGCACUUCUGAUUUCAAAUAAUGUGUACUUUGAAAUUCACAGAAAUAAGCCUUCCUAAUGAAUACUAUAAUGUAAAUAAUGAUAAAAACUUAACCUAUAAUGCCCAAGACAAAUAAAAAAAAUGCACAUAUUUAUAUUGCAUUCAAUAAUGGAUCAUUUUACACUUUGAAUCUUCACUGAGUCUAUUAACCAAUAUAAAAAAUAUCUCUAAUAAUGCCUAAUAAAAACCAAAUAAUGACAAUAACCUACUACAUAAUGACAAUACCUUCAAAGUUAAAGGAAUUAAAUUCUAGAACACGCGUACACUACCUGUACACGUCAAAAAAACGCUAUUACUUGCUUAGUCAACCAUGGAGGUGCCAUUUUCCCUUAUCACUUGUGCUUGCACUUGGUUCACCUAAUUUUUAAACAAUCACAUAUACAAUUUAUAAAUAAACACUUAAAGCAAAAAUAUGGAAUCCAAAAUAUCACAUAUAUCUAUCUCCCUUUUAGUAUAAAAACCUCUAUUCUCAACUUUUAAAGCUUUAAAAAAAAAUUGACUGCAUUACAUCAUCUUCAUAUAAUAAACUGACUUAGCUCGGAUAUAACUAGGGGUCAAUCCCUACACUAAAAUAAACCUCUAGGUAUCGAUUUUAAUUACAAAAAAGGUUUUCCUUAAAAUUCCAAGGGAUUAGGGAGUUAUGAAUGUUUUACUACAGCAUGCCAGUUUUGACAAAUUCUGGCGACUGUUUAACAUGAAUUUUUAAAAAUAGCAAACGUUAAUCAAAUGCUCUGAAAGUUUGCAGACAUCAUUCCAAGAUCUGAUAGUAUGCAUAACAAUUUUUAGAACAUAAAUUAUAGCAUGUUAAGGUGGCCAAAACUGAUCAGUACAGCAGCACCAGAACAACCUACAUACAAGCUAUUUUCUAUUUGUGUGUCAUUGGGUAAUUUCUCCAAACACUUCAUGUUCAACAACAAAAUUAUAUGGUUUUAGUCCAAUUAUGAUCCAUCUCCAACAAUUGAAAUCCCCAAUUCAAAGAACUCUAAUAUUCGACCAAACAAAAAGAAUCACAUCAAAUUAACAUCACUACUAUACUCAGAAACAUGAUUGAAGAGGUUAUGGAGGAAUCUAAACUAUAAUUUCAACUAUUUUCCAAAGAUAAGUGGAGGUGGGUUUGCAACCUAAGCUCCAAAAUCGAGAGGAAGAAGGGGGAAUUGAAAGCUUGGAUUGAUGGAGUGUAUUACAUGUUUCACGGUGGAGCGGUCGGAGGAGUCGCGGUGGCUGUAAUAUCCCAACCUUAGAAGUAUUAGAAAUUAGAGAUUAGGAUUUAUAUUUUAGUUAGUGGUUUUAUAUGUAUAUAUUUUUGUU